UACGUAGGGUGCGAGCGUUAAUCGGAAUUACUGGGCGUAAAGUGUGCGCAGGCGGUUCGCUGUGUCCGAUGUGAAAGCCCCGGGCUUAACCUGGGAAUGGCAUUGGAAACUGGCGGGCUUGAGUGUGGCAGAGGGGGGUGGAAUUCCGCGUGUAGCAGUGAAAUGCGUAGAGAUGCGGAGGAACGCCGAUGGCGAAGGCAGCCCCCUGGGCUAACACUGACGCUCAGGCACGAAAGCGUGGGGAGCAAACAGG
rnacentral:rRNA from 1 species